rnacentral:rRNA from 1 species
CUAAACGACUCUCGGCAACGGAUAUCUCGGCUCUUGCAUCGAUGAAGAACGUAGCGAAAUGCGAUACUUGGUGUGAAUUGCAGAAUCCCGUGAACCAUCGAGUCUUUGAACGCAAGUUGCGCCCGAAGCCAUUAGGUUGAAGGCACGUCUGCCUGGGCGUCACGCAU